UUUACUUUCUUCUAUAUUAUAUGCUCCUUUAUAAUAAUAUUCUUUAAAUGCGCAAGUAUAUUCAUCUAUAUAACACAUAUUACAUAUUGUUAAUUUUAACAUUAAAUUCUCCUAUUUGUCUUUUUCUUCAUUUUGUUCUUCUUCUAUUGUUGUCAUACUACCAAAUUCAUCUUUUAUAGCUGUUUCAUAUUUUUUUAAUAAUU
rnacentral:lncRNA from 1 species